rnacentral:rRNA from 1 species
AUGAUUCCAUGGUGUGUCUUUACACUUAACUCUUGGUUUGUCAGUACGGCGCUGCCAAAAGUUGUCACAGUUGGAAUUGACUUUGGAUGCAAGAAUUCAAGAGUUGCGAUCAUAGAUUCCUUGGUACGCAAGCUGUACAUUAGGGAAAUCUUGAAAUUAAUGUGCACACCAGAGCUAAUAAAAAAGGUACCGGAGGUUAUCGACAGUGAAGGUGGGCAUUGCACUCCAUCUUAUGUUACUUCAAUAGAGCCAGAAACUAGUGAACGAUAUGCGUGGGCCCUGCAGCGUUUGGAAGGUCUUGGCAAAUGUGUCGCAGUUGGAGAACUUGCAAAGCGCAGGAUGUCUAGACAACCAUCCGAUGUUGUCUUCAAUAUAAAAAAGUUGAUUGGAAAACAAUUUGAUGACUGCUGGGUGGAAGGAAUGAGGAAAAGAGUCCAUUUCAGCAUCGUUGAAGGGGGAAGAGGAGAAGCUUGCGUCCAAAUCCAUGGAGUGAGAUUUUCUCCUGUUGAAAUUGCCAGUGUUAUUUUUGCAAAGCUCAAGGAUGUCGUCCUGAUGUACCAAUUUCAUCACGAAUUAAAAGCGGUGAUAAGUGUGCCCAUUUUCUUCAGUGAACAGCAAAGGGAGGCCAUAUUGUUGGCGGCAAAUAAAGCGGGCUUAACGGUAUUGCAGUUAAUAGAUGAACCAAAGGCAGCCGCUCUUUCUAGAGCAACAAUUAAAGAAGGUAUCGUUGUUGUUUUCGACAUGGGUGCUGGAUCAUACACACUCUCAGUCCUUGGUGUGUCUGGCACAAAUAUUGAGGUCAAAAGUCAAUCUGCUGACCCCAUUGUUGGUGGGGAUCAGUUCGACGAUAUAGUUCUGGACUACUUUGUUACGCAGAUCAGAAAUUUUCAUUAGGUCGACAUUCGUUCAGAUAAAUAUGCUAUGAUGUUACUUGCUGAAGCAGCGGAGCAAGCUAAAGUGGAAUUAUCAACCCAACACAAAGUCACAAUUUCCACGCCUUACAUCAUCUCAUCGGCUCAGUGUCAUGGUGAUGCUAGCGUCUCUAUUUCUCGGGCAGAGUUCGAGAGGUUGGUUCACAACAUGGUAGAACAAAUUCAAUACAAGUGUUGUGCAGUCCUAAAAGAGGCUAACAUCACUGACAAGCGUAUCAAUGAAAUUGUAUUGACUGGGGGGAUGACAAGAGUUCCCAUGAUACGGAGAAUCAUAUAUGACAUAUUUGGCAAGAAUCAGGGUACAAGCGUGAACCAUGAUGAAGCCGUGGUUAUCGGUUCAGCGAUACAAGCUGCUCUCAUUGUGGAAGAUCAGCGUGAGAUGAGAGAAGACAUGAUUCCACUCUCUAUUGGUGUUGAGUCAGAAGGAGUUUUCAUGCGGGUUAUUCCAAGGCAUACCACAAUUUCUACUAAACGGACGGUUAAAAUUCCUUCAUGGUGUGCAUAUGGUGAAAGUCUGCAUCUCAAAGUUUUUCUUGGGGAGCAUGUCAUGGUUAGCCAUAACACAUUCCUAGGAGAGAUAGAUCUAGUAAACAAUCGAUGGUCGGGUCAAGGAUCAGUUCAUUUUGAGCUGACUUUUGAAGUUGACACCGACUACACGGUCAAAGUAACCGGCAGAAACCCUGGUGACGCCGACGGCGCGAGGAAAGCAACAUUCAAGGUCUUCAAUGUACGCGAGAUCGUUAUGUCUAAGGGCAAAGUCGACGAGGCUGUUAGGAACGCCUUGCUUGGCUGGUCAAUGCAAGGCAUAGAGAUCCAUGCUCGUCUGGUAAACAUGGGAAAGCAUAUAGCAAAUACCCUCCGCGACGUCUUGUGGGCGAGAAAAGAUGAGGUCCCAAAGAACAUCUAUCAUGAGGACGCGGCAAAGGCGCUGGCUGAUUUGCUGACAGUGUUGCAUGCGGACAGCCAUGUGCUGAAAGAUAAGAUGCUCGCUGCUGCGGCAGAGGAAGAGAAGCUGAUGGCGGAUUGGAACCCACCGUCAACGUCUCGUAAUAGAGAUUAUUCAGACUAUGAAGAUGAGGAAGAGAGUGCAUAG